AGGUAUCAGAAGUGCGAAUGCUGACAUAAGUAACGAUAAAGCGGGUGAAAAGCCCGCUCGCCGGAAGACCAAGGGUUCCUGUCCAACGUUAAUCGGGGCAGGGUGAGUCGACCCCUAAGGCGAGGCCGAAAGGCGUAGUCGAUGGGAAACGGGUUAAUAUUCCCGUACUUGGUGUUACUGCGAAGGGGGGACGGAGAAGGCUAUGUUGGCCGGGCGACGGUUGUCCCGGUUUAAGCGUGUAGGUAUGUGUUCCAGGUAAAUCCGGUUCACUUUAACACUGAGGCGUGACGACGAGGCACUACGGUGCUGAAGCAACAAAUGCCCUGCUUCCAGGAAAAGCCUCUAAGCAUCAGGUAACAUCAAAUCGUACCCCAAACCGACACAGGUGGUCAGGUAGAGAAUACCAAGGCGCUUGAGAGAACUCGGGUGAAGGAACUAGGCAAAAUGGUGCCGUAACUUCGGGAGAAGGCACGCUGACACGUAGGUGAAGUGAUUUACUCACGGAGCUGAAGUCAGCCGAAGAUACCAGCUGGCUGCAACUGUUUAUUAAAAACACAGCACUGUGCAAACACGAAAGUGGACGUAUACGGUGUGACGCCUGCCCGGUGCCGGAAGGUUAAUUGAUGGGGUCAGCGCAAGCGAAGCUCCUGAUCGAAGCCCCGGUAAACGGCGGCCGUAACUAUAACGGUCCUAAGGUAGCGAAAUUCCUUGUCGGGUAAGUUCCGACCUGCACGAAUGGCGUAAUGAUGGCCAGGCUGUCUCCACCCGAGACUCAGUGAAAUUGAACUCGCUGUGAAGAUGCAGUGUACCCGCGGCAAGACGGAAAGACCCCGUGAACCUUUACUAUAGCUUGACACUGAACAUUGAGCCUUGAUGUGUAGGAUAGGUGGGAGGCUUUGAAGUGUGGACGCCAGUCUGCAUGGAGCCGACCUUGAAAUACCACCCUUUAAUGUUUGAUGUUCUAACGUGGACCCGUGAUCCGGGUUGCGGACAGUGUCUGGUGGGUAGUUUGACUGGGGCGGUCUCCUCCUAAAGAGUAACGGAGGAGCACGAAGGUUGGCUAAUCCUGGUCGGACAUCAGGAGGUUAGUGCAAUGGCAUAAGCCAGCUUGACUGCGAGCGUGACGGCGCGAGCAGGUGCGAAAGCAGGUCAUAGUGAUCCGGUGGUUCUGAAUGGAAGGGCCAUCGCUCAACGGAUAAAAGGUACUCCGGGGAUAACAGGCUGAUACCGCCCAAGAGUUCAUAUCGACGGCGGUGUUUGGCACCUCGAUGUCGGCUCAUCACAUCCUGGGGCUGAAGUAGGUCCCAAGGGUAUGGCUGUUCGCCAUUUAAAGUGGUACGCGAGCUGGGUUUAGAACGUCGUGAGACAGUUCGGUCCCUAUCUGCCGUGGGCGCUGGAGAACUGAGGGGGGCUGCUCCUAGUACGAGAGGACCGGAGUGGACGCAUCACUGGUGUUCGGGUUGUCAUGCCAAUGGCACUGCCCGGUAGCUAAAUGCGGAAGAGAUAAGUGCUGAAAGCAUCUAAGCACGAAACUUGCCCCGAGAUGAGUUCUCCCUGAGACUUUAGGUCUCCUGAAGGAACGUUGAAGACGACGACGUUGAUAGGCCGGGUGUGUAAGCGCAGCGAUGCGUUGAGCUAACCGGUACUAAUGAACCGUGAGGCUUAACCUUACAACGCCGAAG
rnacentral:rRNA from 1 species